GAGUCACCCUUCGUUGACUCAGUGAAGGGCACAUCUCCAACGAUCUUCACUUCAGUGCCUUCUCAGGAAACAACCAACCCUCAGGAUACUGAGUUCACUGUCAAACCUUCGACUGAUAAGAUUAUCUUGGUAACCAAA